GUGAGGAAUAUUGGUCAAUGGACGGAAGUCUGAACCAGCCAUGCCGCGUGCAGGAAUAAGGUCCUAUGGAUUGUAAACUGCUUUUAUUCGGGAAUAAACCUCUUUACGUGUAGGGAGCUGAAGGUACCGAAGGAAUAAGCACCGGCUAACUCCGUGCCAGCAGCCGCGGUAAUACGGAGGGUGCAAGCGUUAUCCGGAAUCAUUGGGUUUAAAGGGUCCGCAGGCGGGCUAUCAAGUCAGAGGUGAAAUCCCACAGCUUAACUGUGGAACUGCCUUUGAAACUGAUGGUCUUGAAUUAAGUGGGCGUUGGCGGAAUAUGACAUGUAGCGGUGAAAUGCAUAGAUAUGUCAUGGAACACCGAAAGCGAAGGCAGCUAACGAUACUUAUAUUGACGCUCAUGGACGAAAGCGUGGGUAGCGAACAGGAUUAGAAACCCGUGUAGUCC
rnacentral:rRNA from 1 species